UACGAAGGGGGCUAGCGUUGUUCGGAAUUACUGGGCGUAAAGCGUGCGCAGGCGGCUUCUCAAGUCAGGGGUGAAAGCCCAGAGCUCAACUCUGGAAUUGCCUUUGAGACUGAGUGGCUUGAGUACGAGAGAGGUGAGUGGAAUUCCCAGUGUAGAGGUGAAAUUCGUAGAUAUUGGGAAGAACACCGGUGGCGAAGGCGGCUCACUGGCUCGUAACUGACGCUCACGCACGACAGCGUGGGGAUCAAACAGG
rnacentral:rRNA from 1 species